rnacentral:misc_RNA from 1 species
UCCGAUUUGUCAUCGGCAGUUUCUCCAGAGUCCCCAGCUUAACCUGUUGGUAACUGGAAAUAAGGGUUGCGCUCGUUGCGGGACUUAACCCAACAUCUCACGACACGAGCUGACGACAGCCAUGCACCACCUGUGCUCAACGCUAUACAUUGCUGUACAGGGCGCUAUGCUUCCAUAGCCUUGCAUUGACAUGUCAAGUUCUGGUAAGGUUCUUCGGGUUGCAUCGAAUUAAACCACAUACUCCACCGCUUGUGCGGGCCCCCGUCAAUUUCUUUGAGUUUUAACCUUGCGGUCGUAUUCCCCAGGUGGUUCACUUAAUGCGUUAACUGCGGCACGAAAGGGGUCGAUACCUCUCACACCUAGUGAACAUCGUUUACUGCGUGGACUAC